GGCUGUGCGGCAGCGGGCGGGUGUGGCACGGAACGGCGCAGAGCGGGCAGAGCUGAGGCGUGAGCCGUGUCUGCUGCCCGCAGCCGGCCCCAGGGGGAAUGGGGCAGCAGCAUGCCACGGCUCCCGUGCCCAGCGUGCAUCUGUAACUCGUCUUACACUCGGUAUUCCACAAACCGUCUGUGUCUCCCACAGUGAAAUCGUGCAUCCAUCAUUACAGGCUCUUCUUGUGUCCUGUCAGGUCGUACCAUUUACGUGAUUUAAGCCUAAGAGUGCUCUAUAAAAGCAAACAGAUUGCUGUAAGGACUGCUGGAGGCACUGACAGUGCUGAUGUAUGUGCUGAGCUCAGAUGCAGUAAGGAGCGCGUUCCUCAGAAGCCACAAUCUCUCUUGGGAACAGAACUAACAUUGCUAAUCAAUGAUCAAGGCUUCUUGAAUUAAAACAAAUCCAGCACUGGUAAUUUUCUUUAAUAUUCACCAUUGCAUUAAGUUAAGAACGGCCUUAAGCUGAGAGGAGCGCACAGGAAAGUGAUACAAAAAUAACCACAAGGUUUGGGUAGGAAAUCACCAAACACAAUGCUCUGGACCGCGCUGCAUUGUUCUUGACCGGAUACCUUCUGCAGAAGUGCUUCACAACUCCGUGUAACUCCCGUUGGUGCUUUUUUUCUCCCCUGCUGAUGAGUUUGGAGAUGCUGGUGUCACAUAAAUGGUUUCUAUCCAGCAGUCUGGCUGUGGUUCAUUAGCUUUAAAGGCUCGCAAGCAGGAGUUUACAAUUGGUUUAAAUACAAGCAAAGAAACAGAGUGAUGACUCAGGAUAUACUUUUGAGCUUGAUUUCUACCUCUCAGUUCCUCUUUUUUUUUUCUUCUUUUUUUUUUUCGGUGAGUAGAAGGAACAAAAAGGCCAGCCGACAGGCUUGAGGUUCAGACACACUUCAGGAUCCUUCUUCCCAGCAAUUAUUUUUUUAAUUUCUGAGUAUGGGAGCUGCCGUUCUUGCCUUACUGCAACCCGAGGACAGUGGGCUUCUGAUGGCUGCUUGUGUUGGAUACAGAAAUUUUGGUUUGGUGCUGCUGAAAAGUGAGACAAAUAGAUCGGUGUGCAAGUUCUGCUCCUGAACACAUCUGACCUGUUCCCAGCCACUUCUGUGUUUUAUUCCACCAACCUGCUGGAACAGUGAGCCUGUAGCUCCACAUGCUCAGAUCCAGGUUUGCUAAAAGGUCAGCGGUAGUUCUUGCAAGAUGACCCAAAUGAGAAGUUGUCACGGGAGAGUGGCCUUGGAGUAUCAGCCACCUUUACAACAACAAGAAUUGCACUUUUUUGUUAGAGUCCAUCUGGUUUUGAGAUCUGUUACUGUAAUAGCUGAGAAAUGAUGUCUGCCAUGAGAGCACUAUGGAAAAUGAAGAUUUUUCCUUUAUAAUCUUGGAGGAUUGAAGGAUUCAAAAUAAAGUGGUGAUGCAAUUGCUCCUGAAAGAAUAAUAUUUUUCAGGAAAAAUCUGUUUAAAAGCAAUAAAUGUUGAAGGCUGUAAA